UUCUUUGUUUUCGUAUAGGGGUACUGCGGAACGAUCAUU
rnacentral:rRNA from 1 species